rnacentral:sRNA from 1 species
AAUGUUGCUGUUGAUGUUAACAAUUGAGAUUUGGCAACAUUUUUUAAGUGAAUGUUGCGAAUGUCGCCUUUUGCAACGUUUAUUUAGUGUUGCAAAACUUUUUAUUUUUGCAACGUUUAUCAAACGUUGCGAAAAACAUUUUUCGCAACGUUUAUCAGAUGUUGCGAAAGAUCAUUUUUGGCAACGUUUAAUAAACG